rnacentral:rRNA from 1 species
UACGUAGGGGGCAAGCGUUGUCCGGAUUCAUUGGGCGUAAAGGGUGCGUAGGUGGCGGGGUAAGUCAGGUGUGAAAUUUCGGAGCUUAACUCCGAAACUGCAUUUGAUACUGCCUUGCUUGAGGACUGGAGAGGAGACUGGAAUUCACGGUGUAGCAGUGAAAUGCGUAGAUAUCGUGAGGAAGACCAGUGGCGAAGGCGGGUCUCUGGACAGUUCCUGACACUGAGGCACGAAGGCCAGGGGAGCAAACGGG